rnacentral:misc_RNA from 1 species
GAUGAAGAACGCAGCGAAAUGCGAUACGUAAUGUGAAUUGCAGAAUUCAGUGAAUCAUCGAAUCUUUGAACGCAUAUUGCGCUCUUUGGUAUUCCGAAGAGCAUGCUUGUUUGAGUAUCAGUAAACACCUCAAAACUUUUUUUUAUUUUUUAAAAACCAGUUUUGGACUUGAGCAAUCCCAACACCAAUCUUUUUUAGAUCGGUGGCGGGUUGCUUGAAAUGCAGGUGCAGCUGGACAUUCUCCUGAGCUAAAAGCAUAUUUAUUUAGUCCCGUCAAACGGAUUAUUACUUUUGCUGCAGCUAAUAUAAAGGGAGUUUGACCGUUUUGGCUGACUGAUGCAGGAUUUCACAAGGGUCGGCAACGAUUCUUGUAAAACUCGAUCUCAAAUCAAGUAAGACUACCCGCUGAACUUAAGCAUAUCAAUAAGCGGAGGA